GUAGGCACAACUGUGGACACCAUGAAGAUGCCGGGGUGUCUUGUGGGUACUCCUACACAAGAAGCUGUCCGGGAUCUUCCCAGUACGGUACCACUGAGGCAUCCGAAACUACUUCUUCAAGCUAUGAUCCUUGCUCUUCCUACCCAUGUUAUUACGGAGGCACGUGUGUCCCAAAAAGAUGUUAUUACUGACCCUAUGACUAUGUGGACUACAAUUGCACAUGUCCGGGUCUAAUACCUUAAUUAUUGAGCGUAUCAAA